GAUGAACGCUGGCGGCGUGCCUAAUACAUGCAAGUAGAACGCUGAAGGAGGAGCUUGCUCUUCUGGAUGAGUUGCGAACGGGUGAGUAACGCGUAGGUAACCUGCCUGGUAGCGGGGGAUAACUUUUGGAAACGAUAGCUAAUACCGCAUGACAACAGUUAUUGCAUGAUAACUGUUUAAAAGUGGCACCUGCUCCACUACCAGAUGGACCUGCGUUGUAUUAGCUAGUUGGUGAGGUAACGGCUCACCAAGGCGACGAUACAUAGCCGACCUGAGAGGGGGAUCGGCCACACUGGGAAUGAGACACGGCCCAGACGCCUACGGGAGGCAGCAGUAGGGAAUCGUCGGCAAUGGACGGAAGACUGACCGAGCAACGCCGCGUGAGGGAAGAAGGUUUUCGGAUCGUAAAGCUCGGUUGUAAGAGAAGAACGAGUGUGAGAGUGGAAAGUUCACACUGUGACGGUAACUUACCAGAAAGGGACGGCUAACUACGUG
rnacentral:rRNA from 1 species